AUCCAUAUAAUAUCAUUGUAAAAACAGCAAACUAAUAUUGAGUUGAUAUUCAUCAGAGGUUUCGGUGUUCUGCAGUUCCAUAAGCAAACUAAUUGGGCUUGAUUUUAAAAAAUGAUGGCACCCAACACAAGGCCACCAGCAUUGUUCAAUUAAUGUCAAAAGCUUUUUAUUUAAAACAUAAAAGGAACAUCAAAAGAAAAUCCCACCAAAUUCAAAAUUCAAAACUUCCAAAAUAAAAAAGAAAUGUGCAAAACAGAUUGAAAGAAAACAUACCUGCAUCUUGG
rnacentral:misc_RNA from 1 species